UACGUAGGGGGCAAGCGUUGUCCGGAAUCAUUGGGCGUAAAGCGCGCGUAGGCGGCCCGGUAAGUCCGCUGUGAAAGUCCAGGGCUCAACCCUGGAAAGCCGGUGGAUACUGUCGGGCUAGAGUCCGGAAGAGGCGAGUGGAAUUCCUGGUGUAGCGGUGGAAUGCGCAGAUAUCAGGAGGAACACCAAUGGCGAAGGCAGCUCGCUGGGACGUUACUGACGCUGAGACGCGAAAGCGUGGGGAGCAAACAGG
rnacentral:rRNA from 1 species